UAUUUCUAUCUUAAUAUUGGUUAGAACUGAUUAUAUGCUGAUAGACCCAAACACACAUCCCAAAGCCAUUGCGGUAAUUUCAACAUUGCAUACAGUUAUACAGGAAUUAGCAGAUGAUAAAAUUGCUGAUAUACUAUUCUUUUACCUUCACAACUUAGCUAGGCUCUUAAACAUAGAAAAAUGAUAGCAAAGCAGCUGGGAAGCCUUUGGAAAAGAUAAACUUUUACUGGUUUUUGUUAUAAAUAAAAACUUUCUUUGCAUAACUUCUCAUUGUAGCCCUUCUCAGCCACCAAAUUUAUGCAAAUACAUAUACUGGAAAGCAUGAGAGAGGAGAGUCGUAGUCCUGUUUUGUUUCCCCCUUUUUUAUGGGAUAGAAGUGACACUGGAGCAGGAGACUGAUUAGAUUAAUUUCUUUUCAUGUAGUUUCAAACUGCUUUGUAGGGAAUUAAAGUGUGGAAAUGCUGGUGAUGUGGCAGUGCUUGUAGUCUUUUGGAAAUUAGUACAACUAAGGAUUACACAAGAAUUUAAAGGCAUUUUGUCACUGUUUCUUUUUUCUUCUUUCUUAACAGAUUAUUUCUGGUAUCGAGAAAGAAUGGGAAUGUGGUAGGAAAAUACAAAAGAGUUACAAAGAGGAGACAUUAUUGUCUACACAUUCUGUAUAAUUCUGAACUUUUAGCUAGGCAUGGUAUUUCAAGCAUCAUUUAGCAGCACACACAGCAGAAGACAUUUACUAUAUAUUCUGUGGAAUUUACAUAUUUUAUAUUCUUAUUUUUCACUCAAUAAACAGUCAGCAAAUCAUUAAUACUUUGUCAGAGAGGACAUGUUUUGUAUGGAGAAUGAUUAUGAACUGAAUAAUGCCUGGAAUUAUAAUAAUAUCUAAUUAUUCUUUCUUGUGUACACUAUUAUAUCACAUAUGAAAUUGUUUAAGAUUUUACUACAUUUUCCAGGCAUAAUGGUACUUUUAAAAAUAUAAACAAAUUAAUAAAGAAGCUAUCAAUGGCAACUUAUCAUAUAUGAUUAAUCAUUAUAUGUCAAGUAUUGGAAACUGUAUGCCUCUCAAUACUAGUUGUAAGGAAAUACAUAAGAGGCUGUACAUAUACUCAUGGUCUACUGUAAACUUCCAAAGGCAUUCAGUCAAUCUCAGCAAGGAAAGAAUGCUAGAUAGACCACAGAUUCUUCCAGACGGGUACAAAUCCAAUAAUGGGUGACCACAAUAUAUCUGAUUGUGAUUAUUACUGAAUUAUUCCUGUAUUCAUGGUGUUCUAUUCACUGAUGACGAAAUAACAUUUUAAGCAGAAAUGGCCCCUAUGGAAGCUAUAGCAUAUGACUACAUUGUAUUUUAAGGAGUGGUCUGUGUUCCCAUUGGUGGUUGGUUAUCAGACCUGUAUUGCAAAAAACUGGAAUGAUCCUAAUUUUUAUAACUGUAUUAUAAGGGAUGCUUAGUUUGAUGUUUUUUCCCAGGCCCUCCUAUAACUUUACUAUGGUGGUAUGAUGGCAUGGGACUAACAUAAAGAGUAGUAUUUAAAUCAGCCUAAGGAGCUUGAAAGGCAAAUGAGGUUUUGUCACAUAAAUGCUAGCAAUUUUCUCCCUGUGUAUGUUUGUGUUUAAGAAGGGAUGUAUUUUUAGGUGCAAUACUCAGGAACAGGAUGAUAUUCUGAGCAAUUGGCAGUUAAGUGAGUACUGAUUGGCUCAUGAUUCUCUGUGUUCAGUUACAGGCCUGAAAAGGCAAGUACUAACUGGCUUUAAUUUUUAGAGUGCUCUGUAUACUUAAAAAGGAUAAACAUUCCCAUGCUCUAAGCCUCUGUGUCUACAAUCAAACCAACCUGGAUCAACCUAGCUUGAAAUGGAAUCAGAGAACUUGGAAGACAGAAAGGCUGUUCCUGAGUACCAUAAUAUGAUCUAGCACUGCUUGUCCUACUGUAGUUGACAGGACAAAUUGAGCAAAUCAACCUGAUGAAUAAAAACAUACAUGCAGUUUCUUAUUCCUCACUGUGAUUAAAAAGCAUACCUUAGGCUAAUUGUGUUAAGUAAAUCUAGAAUGGCUGCCAUCUAUUAAUUUAUUGAAUUUAUAUUCUAUCUUUCCUCUAGGACUCAAGGCCAAAUGUUCCACAACUGGCUUUUGAAUUUACACAAGGUAAUAAGUGUUAAGUAAGCCUUUUACCCUAUUUAAAGGAGUGAUUUAGUAGGGGGCGAGAGUAGCACAAGGAGUGUCUAUGUAUGUGUGGAUGGAGGGGGGAAAAUAUGGUACUAUAUUAUGCUUUAAUAUGUCAUGCAAACUGUGCUAUUAUAGAACUAUUUAAUUUUUAAAGAGAAAGUAAACAGCUCAGGCUGCCUAUCUGCCCUACAGAAAGGUCCAUAUUGUUAAGCUUUUACCAAUGUAUUUUAAAUAUCGUAUUUUUUUUCUUAAAGGUUACGAUAAUUCUCCUACAAUACCUCACACCCUGAUUUUUUUUCUCUUUUGGAAAUAAAUGAAAAAAGUUGUUUUCUACAGCUGUGCCAGGCUUGAUAACAGCUUGCUAUAUCUAACCUAUCAAAUGAGUAGCACUGUUUUGAUUGUAUAGAUGGUGAUAAAGGGGGAAAGGUUUUUCUUCUGCUACUUUGGAAAAGCUAUAUAAUGUUUUACAAACAUCACCGCACAACAUCUCAAUAUUUAUUUACUAAAUACAAAAGAACGCGCUGAGGCCAUUUUAAAGAGAGGAGCCAUGUCAGUCUGGGCUAGUUAAAAAUAAAGGAGUUGAGCCACAAGACUUUUUAUUAUUCAGGAAGGAGAUCUUAUAUUGAAUCUGGAUAAUAUAGAAGGACAUUCAAAAUCUGAAACCACAGAGCCUCAGAAAAAGAAUAUUUUUUUAUUUUAGAAAGAGAUCCAAGUGAGUAUACCAUUUAUUAGUAUAUCUACCUGCAGCCUUUCCCUACUCCCUAUAUGGACAUCUGAAGCGAGUCAAGCCGAAUCAUCGCCAGGAAGUCCCCUCCCCCGGCAGGUGUUAUGACAAAAGCCUUCUGAGUCGGGGGUCUGCGCCCGCCCAGGGGGUAGUGCUGUAGAGACCGUCCCGUGCUCCUCCGCCGCCGUACCCCGAAGCCUACCCCAGGCGGCGGCGGCGGAAGUGAGUGAAGGGGCAGUAUAGGAAUUUCCUGUGACGUCCCGGCCCAGACUCCAUUAGGCUGCAGCUAGGCAGAAGAGCCUCAAACCGACCAGCGAGUGGAGAGGAACGGGCUGUGUGCCUGGGCUGCCAGGCGGGGGCUGUUUCGGGCCGCGUUCCCUGGCGGGACCAUAGAAAGGGUAGCAGCAGCUGCUGCUGUCUAAGAACCCCGGGGAGAGGAACAGCUCCCCGUUCCUUACCCCGCCACCUCCCCCAUCCCACCCUACCCCUCCUCCCCUUCCUCACUCCCCCCCCCCCGGCUUCCCACCACGGCCGCUCUCGGCGAGGAAACUCUGGCCUCCGCUUCCUCCUCCUCCGACUCGGACACCGGCGGAGCCUCCCCGCCACCGCGGAAGAAAGCGCGGGCUUCCCCGGCGGCGGCGGCGGAGGGAGCAGGAGAGCCCGGGGCUUCCGCGGGCAGAGCAGGCCUCACCUCGUCUUCAUCCCCCUCGCUCUCCUGCGGGCUUGCCCCCCCGGCUGCCACCCCCCUCAGAGCCAGCGGCAGCGCCAUGCAGGCCAACGGAGCAGGAGGGGGUCAGCAACAACCGCCGCCGCCGCCGUCGUCGUCGUCACAGGGUCCGGAUCUGGGCUGCCUCAACGCCCAAAACGGCGAGGCCUCGUCGGGAUUGACCACUGGAGAGCAGUUAGCUCACGCCAAUGGGUUGCUGCCGUCGGCCAACAACGGCGACGGUGGCGGCGGACCGAGUGUCAAUAAUGGGGUCUCGGCCCCCGGCGGGUCUGCGCUUGAGCUGGGGGGAGGUAGCGGCGUCGGCAGCAGCGCCCUGAAGAAGAAGAAGCGACUUUCGCAAUCCGAUGAGGACGUGAUCCGGCUCAUCGGGCAGCACCUCCACGGUUUGGGACUCAAGAAGCAACAUCGGAUGAUUGUUUGGCGAGAAUAUGGAUCUAGCCAGACUGUUGAUCUUCUCAUGCAAGAGUCAGGAUGUCGUUUAGAACACCCUUCUGCCACCAAAUUCCGCAAUCAUGUCAUGGAAGGAGAAUGGGAUAAGGCUGAAAACGACCUGAAUGAACUGAAGCCAUUGGUGCAUUCUUCUAAUGCAAUUGUGAAGAUGAAGUUUUUGCUGCUGCAACAAAAAUAUCUAGAAUAUCUGGAGGAUGGUAAAGUUUUGGAGGCACUUCAAGUUCUGCGUGGUGAGUUGACACCGCUGAAGUACAACACUGAGCGCAUUCACAUCCUUAGUGGAUAUCUGAUGUGUAGUCAUCCAGAAGACUUACGCACUAAAGCAGAAUGGGAAGGGAAAGGAACAACGUCUAGAUCUAAACUUUUGGACAAGCUCCAAACUUACCUACCCCCAUCAGUGAUGCUCCCCCCAAGGCGUCUGCAGAAUCUGCUACGUCAAGCCGUAGAGCUACAACGGGACCGGUGCCUCUAUCACAAUACUAAACUUGAUAAUAAUCUAGAAUCUGUAUCACUACUCAUAGACCAUGUUUGUAAUAGGAAACAUUUUCCAUGUUAUACUCAGCAGAUACUUACAGAGCACUGUAAUGAAGUAUGGUUCUGUAAAUUCGCCAAUGAUGGCACUAAACUAGCAACAGGAUCCAAGGAUACAACUGUUAUUAUAUGGCAGGUGGACUCUGAUACACAUCAACUAAAAUUGCUCAAGACAUUGGAAGGUCAUGCAUAUGGUGUCUCUUAUAUCGCUUGGAGUCCUGAUGACAACUACCUGGUUGCCUGUGGUCCAGAUGACUGCUCUGAGCUUUGGCUCUGGAAUGUACAAACGGGGGAGCUAAGGACAAAGAUGAGUCAGUCCCAUGAGGAUAGCUUAACCAGUGUGGCCUGGAAUCCAGAUGGAAAACGUUUUGUGACAGGAGGACAGCGUGGGCAAUUUUACCAAUGUGAUUUAGAUGGUAAUCUCCUAGACUCCUGGGAAGGAGUAAGAGUGCAGUGCCUGUGGUGCUUGAGUGAUGGAAAGACUGUGCUGGCAUCGGACACACACCAGCGAAUUCGGGGUUAUAACUUUGAGGACCUUACAGACAGAAAUAUAGUACAAGAAGAUCAUCCAAUUAUGUCUUUUACUAUUUCAAAAAAUGGCCGGCUAGCUUUGUUAAAUGUCGCAACUCAGGGAGUUCAUUUAUGGGAUUUGCAAGACAGAGUUUUAGUGAGAAAAUACCAAGGUGUUACACAAGGGUUUUACACAAUUCAUUCAUGUUUUGGAGGCCAUAAUGAAGACUUCAUCGCUAGUGGCAGUGAAGUGUCUAAAAACUACCCAGCUGUAGUUGAAGCUGAUGGCACCUUAUUUAGAUUCGGACUGCCUGAGGCUGUUGCCUCUUUGCACUGAAUUGUUGCAAAUAUAGCUGCUGUGAAAGUCUCUAUGUACAAAAAAAGUAACAGAUUUAAAUGUCAUAACCUCUUAAAUGUAAAGAUCAUAAAGUAUAUAUUUGGCACAAACGUAGUGAGCUGCCAAUUGCGGAACUGACGGGGCACACACGUACAGUCAACUGCGUGAGCUGGAACCCACAAAUUCCAUCCAUGAUGGCCAGCGCCUCUGAUGAUGGCACUG